UUGUAAUGUAUUUGUGUAACCUGAGGGC
rnacentral:sRNA from 1 species